AUUGGUUUAAUGAUGAGUUCAUAGUUCAAAUGAAUACAGCUGAUUACAAAUAUAGCAUUUUGUCUUUCGCUCCUAUCUGAAAAUUCAU